GAAUUAGGGUUCUGAUCUCUUCUCUGUGCGUUAGCAAGAACAAGACCGAGCCCUAAUCGGGAUAUUGGAGAGGUGCUGUGGUGAUUUCAGCCAUCAUAGAUUUAUUGGGUUGGUUCCUCCACCGGAGUUGUGAUCAUCUCCGGCGAUUGAAGCAGUAGAGGAUCUUGAUCUAUACGAGCAGCGUGACGUGGGGUGGUUCUGUUGAUACGAGAUAUCUGGAGGCGGGUAGUAGGUAGUUGAUUGGAGUUACUGGGAGUAUGCUGCCAGCCGGUCCCACUUCCCGCGUUACAUCCGAGGA